rnacentral:rRNA from 1 species
AACGAUGUCGACUUGGAGGUUGUGCCCUUGAGGCGUGGCUUCCGGAGCUAACGCGUUAAGUCGACCGCCUGGGGAGUACGGCCGCAAGGUUAAAACUCAAAUGAAUUGACGGGGGCCCGCACAAGCGGUGGAGCAUGUGGUUUAAUUCGAUGCAACGCGAAGAACCUUACCUACUCUUGACAUCCAGAGAACUUAGCAGAGAUGCUUUGGUGCCUUCGGGAACUCUGAGACAGGUGCUGCAUGGC